AACGAACGCUGGCGGCAGGCUUAACACAUGCAAGUCGAACGCCCCGCAAGGGGAGUGGCAGACGGGUGAGUAACGCGUGGGAAUCUACCCAUCCCUACGGAACAACUCCGGGAAACUGGAGCUAAUACCGUAUACGCCCUUAGGGGGAAAGAUUUAUCGGGGAUGGAUGAGCCCGCGUUGGAUUAGCUAGUUGGUGGGGUAAAGGCCUACCAAGGCGACGAUCCAUAGCUGGUCUGAGAGGAUGAUCAGCCACACUGGGACUUAGACACGGCCCAGACUCCUACGGGAGGCAGCAGUGGGGAAUAUUGGACAAUGGGCGCAAGCCUGAUCCAGCCAUGCCGCGUGAGUGAUGAAGGCCUUAGGGUUGUAAAGCUCUUUCACCGAUGAAGAUAGUGACGGUAGUCGGAGAAGAAGCCCCGGCUAACUUCGUGCCAGCCGCCGCCGUAAGAC
rnacentral:rRNA from 1 species